AGGAAACAAAACCCGCCCCUCACCAAUAGCAAGUUCGAGUGGAUGUUAUGUGUGUAAUUGACUAUUGAAUCCAAUUAUGGACUUAAUUGGAGCCAUUAACCGCUUAAUGAAAUACUUUAUGGCGUUUGAGACGCUGGACAAGCGCAAGAAAAGUGUAGAAUACCUUCAUUUUUCUUUUACGUGAAACUACAUCAAGAAUAACCGAAUAGAUGUGGAAAAUCAGUUUAAACAAUAAAACAGAGAAAUGUGAAAAUGGGUCUUUGUUGAUGUUUUUCCUUUGACAUCUCGCGUACUUCGAGAUCUCGAGCACAACAUCAUAAACAACAACAACAACAACAGCAACAAAGCAGGUGCAUUUAAACGUCAAACAAGAAAAUUCAAGCCAGAUACAGCUGCUGUAGUGUCUGUGGUCCUGGUAAAAAUGACGCUGCCCAAGGAUUCUCACAAGGACAAGAUAGUCCAUCACCUAUCUAAGCACAUUCCAGCGUUCCAAGAUGUGUUUGAUGAAGAGUCCUUCUAUAUCUUUGCAUUCUUUGUUGUUGUGGUGACAAUUAUUGGAGCUUAUUUCUUGUCGAAACGAGUGGAACUUAAAGAUGGUGGUCACAUUGACUGAUUAUGUUUAAAUAUAUAAAAAGAAAGUUAUGAUUUAUGGUAACUGUAGACUGAUCAUGUGGUUUAAUGAAAAUUAUGAAGAGUCGUUUUGAACUAUGUUAAUGCAAGACAUCUGUUAUUUAUUUCUAUCUUCAGUGUAGUCAAAACGUUCAAGGCCUUUAGUCUUUUGAUGUCUUCAUAUAAGUUUUAAUUUCUUCAAUUUAGUGAUACAAAUAAUUUAUACUUGAAAAAAAGUUAAAACUUAAACACAAGUUAUUUGUUAAUUUAUUUGUUAAAUACAAACACAUGUACGGUACUUUAACUAUGUAAACCUUUACUUGUAUAUUGUGACCCAUGUUGUAAAGCUGUUUGAUACAGUUGCUAUGAUCUUUGACACUUAUUUUGUUGUCAUGUUUCCUUUUAUUGUACAUGUUAUUUAUUGUAAGAAAUGGCUUUAUUGUGUUUUCAGAGAAUCUCAUUUUGCCACUUUCUUUUGUGCAAUAGUUUUAAACAAUCUUUUGUUUAAAUAAAUUUACAGAAAAUAUUAAA